UACGGGGGGGGCAAGCGUUGUUCGGAAUUACUGGGCGUAAAGGGCUCGUAGGCGGCCAACUAAGUCAGACGUGAAAUCCCUCGGCUUAACCGGGGAACUGCGUCUGAUACUGGAUGGCUUGAGUUUGGGAGAGGGAUGCGGAAUUCCUGGUGUAGCGGUGAAAUGCGCAGAUAUCAGGAAGAACACCCGUGGCUAAGGCGGCUCUCUAGUACGUGACUGACGCUGAGACGCGAAAGCGUGGGGAGCGAACAGG
rnacentral:rRNA from 1 species